ACGAACGCUGGCGGCGCGCUUAACACAUGCAAGUCGAACGCUCUGGGGCAACUCAGGGAGUGGCGAACGGGUGCGUAACACGUGGGUAAUCUGCCUCCGAGGUCGGGAUAACUCGCCGAAAGGCGAGCUAAUACCGGAUAUGCUCACGUUUCCGAGAGGAAGAGUGAGGAAAGGCGAAAGCCGAUCGGAGAUGAGCCCGCGGCCCAUCAGCUAGUUGGCGAGGUAAAGGCNCAACCAAGGCGACGACGGGUAGCUGGUCUGAGAGGACGGCCAGCCACACUGGAACUGAGACACGGUCCAGACUCCUACGGGAGGCAGCAGUGGGGAAUCUUGCGCAAUGGGCGAAAGCCUGACGCAGCGACGCCGCGUGUGCGAUGAAGGUC
rnacentral:rRNA from 1 species